UACGUAGGGACCAAGCGUUGUUCGGAUUUACUGGGCGUAAAGGGCGCGUAGGCGGCAAUUCAAGUCGUCUGUGAAAUCUCCGGGCUUAUCCCGGAACGGUCAGGUGAUACUGUUUUGCUAGAGUGCGGAAGGGGCAAUCGGAAUUCUCGGUGUAGCGGUGAAAUGCGUAGAUAUCGGAAGGAACACCAGUGGCGAAAGCGGCUUCCUGGUCCGACACCGACGUUCAGGCACGAAAGCGUGGGGAGCAAACAGG
rnacentral:rRNA from 1 species